UACAUUUCUAAAUAUUUGUUGCAAUGAAACCUCAGCUGAAUAGUCAAUGAUAAACUGUGAAUGAAAUCUCAUCUCUGUGUCCUGUUCAUUAAGACCCACAAGAACGGUGAUGGUGCGGUGGAUAAGACACAUGCCUUUGGUGUGAGAGAUCCGGGUUCGAAUCCACUGUUACACACCAUUGUGUGCCUGAGCAAGACACUUAACCCCUAGUUCUCCAGACGUGUGACCUCUGACAUAUAUAGCAAUUGUAAGUCGCUUUGGAUAAAAGCGUCAGCUAAAUGAAUAAAUAAGAUAAAAAAUAAAUGCAGGUGAUAAGAGUGGACAGAAAAAAACUUUGUGAAUUGUGAACACCUCAUUCAUAUCUGUAAGUCAGAUUUCUGCUGUAUUGAGCAAGAACAUUUUCACAAUCUGUUCUCAACGGUGUUGAAAUCAGAAAGUCCAUACAGUACAUUGUAACUUUUUCAUUAUUUUGUUUUAUUUAGGGUUUGAUGAUGUUUAUCAAUUCAUUGUAAAUAAUGAAAGUAUUUUAAUAAGGCACAGUCUGAUGACCUGUGAAAAGAUUUGCAUAGACUCUUUGCAUUGGAAAGACUUGAGGAUUUUUUAUAGACGCAUCAGAAGUUCAUCAUCAGAAAUCUAAACUCACAGUCACCAUGACCUUCAUCAGCAUCUUCAUCUGGAUGUUAACUUGUUUCUGUUUCAGAGAAUCAAGAGGUGAAGUGACCGUCAUUCAGACACCUGCAGUCAAAUCUGUUCAUCUACGAGACACAGUUACUAUCGCCUGUAAAACUAAUCCUGAAGUCUACCAGAGCUGGGGUUUUCAGCCUUUAUCCUGGUACUUACAGAAACCUGGAGAAGCUCCUAAACUCUUGAUUAAAAAAGCAAACGAGCUACAGUCUGGGACUCCAUCAAGAUUCAGUGGCAGUGGAUCAAAAACAGAUUUUACUCUGAGCAUCAGUGAAGUUCAGACUGAAGAUGAAGGAGAUUAUUACUGUAUGAGUUUUCAUUAUAUCAACAGUAUAAAUCUGUUCACACAGUGAUAAAGAGUCGUACAAAAACCUCCAUCAGUUAAAGAAGAACUGCACAUUAACAUCAUUAUACUGUCAAUAUUACAAAUAAAAAGUUUAAACACUGAUAAUUCACCCUAAACAUUACAUAUAAAACUGUGUAUCCACAUUUAGAAAUAUUUCUUGAUAUUGUUCAGGUGAUAAUAAUACAUGAUGCUGAACACUUACUGAUGCAUCUCCUGUAAUGAUUUAUUAAUCUAUGACAGAUCAAGAAUUAUUUCAAAUAUUUAUAGACAAGAAUCCACAAAAACUAUCAGUGGAAAAUGAAAAACACAAACAAACAGUCAGUAAAGUAUAAAGUUGUGUUGUGAUGUCAUGACAUAAAUAU